GGGGUAACAGCCAUUGAUUUGUCAUCGGUUUGACAAGAGAGAGAGAGAGAGAGAGAGAAAGGUGAAAAGGAAGGAUGCUGAAGAGAUAGUAUCCGGUGGGGGUGUCUUUCUCUCGGCCUCAUCUCGCGGAACACGAAGAUCGGUGUUCGCGUCACCGAUAGCGUUUACGCCGCGAUGAAAAGCAUCGCUGACACAGAGAACCAUUGUUACAGGCCUCGGUAGAGGGUUGACAAUAGAUUGCACCCCGUCUACCCGGCUACCAGCAGGAACACUUUCAACGUGG
rnacentral:misc_RNA from 1 species